UACGUAGGGUGCAAGCGUUAAUCGGAAUUACUGGGCGUAAAGCGUGCGCAGGCGGUUUUGUAAGUCUGAUGUGAAAAGCCCCCGGGCGUCAACCUGGGAAGUUGCAUUGGAGACUGCAAGGCUUGAAUCUGGCAGAGGGGGGUAGAAUUCCACGUGUAGCAGUGAAAUGCGUAGAGAUGUGGAGGAACACCGAUGGCGAAGGCAGCCCCCUGGGUCAAGAUUGACGCUCAUGCACGAAAGCGUGGGGAGCAAACAGGAUUAGAUA
rnacentral:rRNA from 1 species